UCCAGACUCCUACGGGAGGCAGCAGUGGGGAAUAUUGGGCAAUGGGCGCAAGCCUGACCCAGCAACGCCGCGUGAAGGAAGAAGGCUUUCGGGUUGUAAACUUCUUUUCUUGGGGACGAAGAAAGUGACGGUACCCAAGGAAUAAGCCACGGCUAACUACGUGCCAGCAGCCGCGGUAAUACGUAGGUGGCAAGCGUUAUCCGGAUUUAUUGGGUGUAAAGGGUGCGUAGACGGGAAAAUAAGUUAGUUGUGAAAUCCCUCGGCUCAACUGAGGAACUGCAACUAAAACUAUUUUUCUUGAGUGCAGGAGAGGAAAGUGGAAUUCCUAGUGUAGCGGUGAAAUGCGUAGAUAUUAGGAGGAACACCAGUGGCGAAGGCGACUUUCUGGACUGUAACUGACGUUGAGGCACGAAAGUGUGGGGAGCAAACAGGAUUAGAUACCCGCGUAU
rnacentral:rRNA from 1 species